rnacentral:lncRNA from 1 species
UAACAUCUAUUAACAAAGUAUAUAUAAAGAAGUACAUACAUAAAAAUAGAAUCGUGAGCUCAUAUUUAAGAGUCCUAGCUUCCUUUUAGAUAUAAGGCAUCUGAUUUAACUACUAAUGGACCAAAUAUUACACACAUAUAUUCAGAUAGCACGUAUACAAUGAGGGAUCCACUUACAUCUAGAAUAAAAUUUCUGAUUCUGAAAACUUUGACUAAAUUUUUUGCCUAACUCAUAUUUUGUCAAGGCAACCAUUUGAUCAAUGGUUUGUCCCACCACUAUCAACCUCAUCAAAUUUCAAAUUGAACUUAGUUCAAGAGAUAAUAUAUUAUGUUGAGAUGUUCGGUUCUAGUAAAAGAACC